UACGUAGGUGGCAAGCGUUGUCCGGAUUUACUGGGCGUAAAGAGCGCGCAGGCGGUCGGAUAAGUCGAAUGUGAAAGCCCCCGGCUCAACUGGGGAGGGUCAUUCGAUACUGUUCGACUCGAAGGCAGGAGAGGGAAGUGGAAUUCCCGGUGUAGCAGUGAAAUGCGUAGAUAUGCGGAGGAACACCGAUGGCGAAGGCAAUCCCCUGGGCCUGCACUGACGCUCAUGCACGAAAGCGUGGGGAGCGAACAGG
rnacentral:rRNA from 1 species